UACGUAGGGUCCGAGCGUUGUCCGGAUUUACUGGGCGUAAAGAGCGCGCAGGCGGUCGGAUAAGUCGAAUGUGAAAGCCCCCGGCUCAACUGGGGAGGGUCAUUCGAUACUGUUCGACUCGAAGGCAGGAGAGGGAAGUGGAAUUCCCGGUGUAGUGGUGAAAUGCGUAGAUAUCGGGAGGAACACCAGUGGCGAAGGCGACUUCCUGGCCUGUUCUUGACGCUGAGGCGCGAAAGCUAGGGGAGCAAACGGG
rnacentral:rRNA from 1 species